rnacentral:rRNA from 1 species
AUCGAACGCUGGCGGCAGGCCUAACACAUGCAAGUCGAGCGAGCGGCGGACGGGUGAGUAAUGUAUGGGGAUCUGCCCGAUAGAGGGGGAUAAAUACUGGAAACGGUGGCUAAUACCGAAUAAUAUCGGAUGAACCCAUAUGGGGUUAGCUAGUAGGUGGGGUAAAGGCUGACCUAGGGGAUGAUCUCUAGCAGGUUUGAGAGGAUUCACAGCCACACUGGGACUGAGACACGGCCCAGACUCCUACGGGAGGCAGCAGUGGGGAAUAUUGGACAAUGGGCGAAAGCCUGAUCCAGCAAUACCGCGUGUGUGAAUAAGGCCCUAGGGUUGUAAAGCACUUUUGUUAGGGAGAUGUUACCUAAAGAAUAAGCACCGGCUAACUCCGUGCCAGCAGCCGCGGUAAUAC